AUUCAAUUUCUUUAUUUUAAUAUUGUUUUCUUCGUUGUAGAUCAUACCUAUUUCAUAUUGUUCAUUAAUCUCAAUUCUUGCAUCGCUUCCGAAUCCAACCAGUUGUAUUAGAGCUAGGCUGCGGGUUUCCUUGUAAUUUAGUUGGGGGUUUUUCAGAGAUGGCAACAUUGAAAUAUGAUAUAUCGUUGCUAGAUUGCAAUACAAGAUUUUCGCUGUGACGAGUAAAAAUGAGAGCUAUUUACGGAGAUGGAUUUGAACGAUGCUUUGCUAGAUUUUGAUAAGAUGCCAGCAAAUUAGACAAUGGAGGAGAAACAACGAAAAGACAGGAAGACUCUAUCACAGAUUCACCUUCACCUCUCCAAUAACAUUCUGCAAGACGGCUUGUUUGUGGUUGAAACUGGAGCAAUUGUACAUGACCAAAAUCUUACGAGCAAACUACAUCUAAAGCAGAGGUUGUAUUCCCAUCAGAUGGCAAAUGGAAAAUCAUUAGAAGAUAAGCUAGGUGUGUUUAAGGAAAUCGUUGCGAAUUUGGAAACAUUGGAGGUCAAAUAUGAUGAGGAUGAUCUUGCCUUGAUCCUGUUGUGUUCGCUAUAACCUUCAUACUCGUCAUUCUGAGACACGAUACUGUACAGUCGUGACAUGCUUGCCAUUGAAGAUGCUUAUGAUACUUUAUUCUAAAAGAAGAAGAUGAAGCAUUUGAUUGGAGCUACACCUAGGGAUGAGGAUGCUCUGGUAUCUCAUAGUGAUUGACGAAGGGGUAGAUUGAGAACGAACAUCAGCAACUUGUACUACUUCUACUGCAGGAGAAAAAGACACGUUAAGAAAGAUUGCGAUAAGUUGCAGGCUAAAGGUAAUUUAGCUGCAAAUCAUGGGAGACAAUCAUCUACGUCAAACGAGACCAAUGUCAUUGAGAAUUUUUAGUCAACUCAGUCGAGGCCUUUUGGAUGGGGUAUAGACA
rnacentral:lncRNA from 1 species